UACGGAGGGUGCAAGCGUUAUCCGGAUUCACUGGGUUUAAAGGGUGUGUAGGCGGGUAGUUAAGUCAGUGGUGAAAUCUCCAGGCUCAACCUGGAAACUGCCAUUGAUACUAUCUAUCUUGAAUAUCGUUGAGGUGGGCAGAAUAUAUCAUGUAGCGGUGAAAUGCAUAGAUAUGAUAUAGAAUACCGAUUGCGAAGGCAGCUCACUAAACGUGUAUUGACGCUGAGGCACGAAAGCGUGGGGAUCAAACAGG
rnacentral:rRNA from 1 species